GUAGUCAGAGGAAGGAAUGAUGUUUGUAAAAGUCCCAAGAAAAGGAUUCUGAUUAAACCUUCUUUGCAAUGAUUGAACUUUAGCUAUUACUGACCUUCCUCUCACCCUC